rnacentral:rRNA from 1 species
UUCCUACGGGACGCAGCAGUGAGGAAUAUUGGUCAAUGGGCGCGAGCCUGAACCAGCCAAGUCGCGUGAGGGAAGACGGUCCUAUGGAUUGUAAACCUCUUUUGUCGGGGAGCAAAAGACGCCACGCGUGGCGUUCCGAGAGUACCCGAAGAAAAAGCAUCGGCUAACUCCGUGCCAGCAGCCGCGGUAAUACGGAGGAUGCGAGCGUUAUCCGGAUUUAUUGGGUUUAAAGGGUGCGUAGGCGGUUCGAUAAGUUAGAGGUGAAAUCCCGGGGCUCAACUCCGGCACU